GAUGAACGCUGGCGGCGUGCCUAAUACAUGCAAGUCGAGCGAACAGACGAGGAGCUUGCUCCUCUGACGUUAGCGGCGGACGGGUGAGUAACACGUGGAUAACCUACCUAUAAGACUGGGAUAACUUCGGGAAACCGGAGCUAAUACCGGAUAAUAUAUUGAACCGCAUGGUUCAAUAGUGAAAGACGGUUUUGCUGUCACUUAUAGAUGGAUCCGCGCCGCAUUAGCUAGUUGGUAAGGUAACGGCUUACCAAGGCAACGAUGCGUAGCCGACCUGAGAGGGUGAUCGGCCACACUGGAAACGAGACACGGUCCAGACUCCUACGGGAGGGAGCAGUAGGGAAUCUUCCGCAAUGGGCGGAAGCCUGACGGAGCAACGCCGCGUGAGUGAUGAAGGUCUUCGGAUCGUAAAACUCUGUUAUUAGGGAAGAACAAAUGUGUAAGUAACUAUGCACGUCUUGACGGUACCUAAUCAGAAAGCCACGGCUAACUACGUG
rnacentral:rRNA from 1 species